UCACUGCUAUCUUAAAAUGCUCAAUGUUACACUAUUACCUGCCAUAGAAGUUCAAAAGGUUUUUAUGAACAUUUAUUAUAAUAGUAACAUUGUAGUACGUUCUUCUGACAAUAUCAAUAAAUAAAAUUUAUGUUACAUACCUUGAAGACACUAAUGAUGUCGAGAAACUUCAGUCAGUCAUUAUAGUCUAAACUAUGCCAUUACAAUCAAACAUAUGAAUGGUCCUUCGAGUUUGUAAGUGUAAUAACUCAGAUAUUAAAAAAAAAAAA
rnacentral:lncRNA from 1 species